GUGGGGAAUCUUGCGCUAUGGGCGAAAGCCUGACGCAGCCAUGCCGCGUGAAUGAUGAAGGUCUUAGGAUUGUAAAAUUCUUUCACCGGGGACGAUAAUGACGGUACCCGGAGAAGAAGCUCCGGCUAACUUCGUGCCAGCAGCCGCGGUAAUACGAAGGGGGCUAGCGUUGCUCGGAAUUACUGGGCGUAAAGGGCGCGUAGGCGGACAGCUUAGUCAGAGGUGAAAGCCCAGGGCUCAACCUUGGAAUUGCCUUUGAUACUGGCUGUCUUGAGUUUGGGAGAGGUGAGUGGAACUCCGAGUGUAGAGGUGAAAUUCGUAGAUAUUCGGAAGAACACCAGUGGCGAAGGCGACUCACUGGCCCAAUACUGACGCUGAGGCGCGAAAGCGUGGGGAGCAAACAGGAUUAGAUACCCGAGUAGUCC
rnacentral:rRNA from 1 species